GACGAACGCUGGCGGCGUGCUUAACACAUGCAAGUCGAACGGAAAGGCCCUGCUUUUGUGGGGUGCUCGAGUGGCGAACGGGUGAGUAACACGUGAGUAACCUGCCCUUGACUUUGGGAUAACUUCAGGAAACUGGGGCUAAUACCGGAUAGGAGCUCCUGCUGCAUGGUGGGGGUUGGAAAGUUUCGUCGGUUGGGGAUGGACUCGCGGCUUAUCAGCUUGUUGGUGGGGUAGUGGCUUACCAAGGCUUUGACGGGUAGCCGGCCUGAGAGGGUGACCGGCCACAUUGGGCCUGAGGUACGGCCCAGACUCCUACGGGGGGCAUCAGUGGGGAAUAUUGCACACUGGGCGGAAGCCUUAUGCAGCAACGCCGCGUGCGGGAUGACGGCCUUCGGGUUGUAACCCGCUUUCGCCUGUGACGAAGCGUGAGUGACGGUAAUGGGUAAAGAAGCACCGGCUAACUACGUG
rnacentral:rRNA from 1 species